GCCCGGAUGGUCUAGUGGUAUGAUUCUCGCUUCGGGCUGGCUAUCACAGCUUCAAUAUGCGAGAGGUCCCGCGUUCGAAUCGCGGUUCGGGCC
rnacentral:tRNA from 1 species